UACAGAGGUCUCAAGCGUUGUUCGGAUUCAUUGGGCGUGAAAGGGUGCGUGAGGUGGCGCUGUAGUCGGGUGGUGAAAUUUCGGAGCUUAACUCCGAAACUGCAUUCGAUACUGCGGUGCUUGAGGACUUGGAGAGGAGACUGGAAUUCAUGGUGUAGCAGUGAAAUGCGUAGAGAUCAUGAGGAAGACCAGUGGCGAAGGCGGGUCUCUGGACAGUUCCUGACACUGAGGCACGAAGGCCAGGGGAGCAAACGGG
rnacentral:rRNA from 1 species